GGUGAAGAAGGCGUGACUAAAAAACUAAAGUUAGUUGAAGCAGAGCUGGCAAAGUUAAAGAUAAAGUAUGCUGAGCUGGAACAUUCUCAAGAGAUAAAGAAUAAGCCGCUUAAACAAGCGAAGGUCAAUCGAAAAAUGGCUCUGAAAAAGAAGGACCAAACACAACAUUGAAUUGAAAGUGUAAAAAAAAA
rnacentral:sRNA from 1 species